rnacentral:rRNA from 1 species
CCAAUAGCGUAUAUUAAAGUUGUUGCAGUUAAAAAGCUCGUAGUUGAAUUUCGGGAUCAGUUUGUUGGUCGUGCUUCGGUACGUACUGUCAUUACUGGUUUCUACCUUCUGAAGAACCUUGAUGUCAUUAAUUUGGUGUCUUGGGGAAUCAGGACUGUUACUUUGAAAAAAUUAGAGUGUUUAAAGCAAGCAUACGCUUGAAUACAUUAGCAUGGAAUAAUGAAAUAGGACGUUUGAUUCUAUUUUGUUGGUUUCUAGGAUCGACGUAAUGAUUAAUAGGGAUAGUUGGGGGCAUUAGUAUUCAAUUGGCAGAGGUGAAAUUCUUGGAUUUAUUGAAGACUAACUACUGCGAAAGCAUUUGCCAAGGAUGUUUUCAUUAAUCAAGAACGAAAGUUAGGGGAUCGAAGACGAUCAGAUACCGUCGUAGUCUUAACCAUAAACUAUGCCGACUAGGGAUCGGAUGAUGUUAUUUUUAAUGACUCAUUCGGCGCCUUACG